rnacentral:rRNA from 1 species
UACGUAGGUGGCAAGCGUUGUCCGGAAUUAUUGGGCGUAGAGCGCGCGCAGGCGGUCCUUUAAGUCUGAUGUGAAAGCCCUCGGCUCAACCGAGGAGGGUCAUUGGAAACUGGAGGACUUGAGUGCAGAAGAGGAAAGUGGAAUUCCAAGUGUAGCGGUGAAAUGCGUAGAGAUUUGGAGGAACACCAGUGGCGAAGGCGACUUUCUGGUCUGUAACUGACGCUGAGGCGCGAAAGCGUGGGGAGCAAACAGG